rnacentral:rRNA from 1 species
AGAGUUUGAUCAUGGCUCAGAUUGAACGCUGGCGGCAGGCUUAACACAUGCAAGUCGAGCGGGGGAAGGUAGCUUGCUACUGGACCUAGCGGCGGACGGGUGAGUAAUGCUUAGGAAUCUGCCUAUUAGUGGGGGACAACAUUCCGAAAGGAAUGCUAAUACCGCAUACGUCCUACGGGAGAAAGCAGGGGACCUUCGGGCCUUGCGCUAAUAGAUGAGCCUAAGUCGGAUUAGCUAGUUGGUGGGGUAAAGGCCUACCAAGGCGACGAUCUGUAGCGGGUCUGAGAGGAUGAUCCGCCACACUGGGACUGAGACACGGCCCAGACUCCUACGGGAGGCAGCAGUGGGGAAUAUUGGACAAUGGGGGGAACCCUGAUCCAGCCAUGCCGCGUGUGUGAAGAAGGCCUUAUGGUUGUAAAGCACUUUAAGCGAGGAGGAGGCUACUAGUAUUAAUACUACUGGAUAGUGGACGUUACUCGCAGAAUAAGCACCGGCUAACUCUGUGCCAGCAGCCGCGGUAAUACAGAGGGUGCGAGCGUUAAUCGGAUUUACUGGGCGUAAAGCGUGCGUAGGCGGCCAUUUAAGUCAAAUGUGAAAUCCCCGAGCUUAACUUGGGAAU